UACGAAGGGGGCUAGCGUUGUUCGGAAUCACUGGGCGUAAAGCGCUCGUAGGCGGAUCUUUAAGUCAGGGGUGAAAUCCCGAGGCUCAACCUCGGAACUGCCUUUGAUACUGGGGAUCUCGAGUCCGGGAGAGGUGAGUGGAACUGCGAGUGUAGAGGUGAAAUUCGUAGAUAUUCGCAAGAACACCAGUGGCGAAGGCGGCUCACUGGCCCGGUACUGGCGCUGAGGAGCGAAAGCGUGGGGAGCGAACAGG
rnacentral:rRNA from 1 species